rnacentral:rRNA from 1 species
CCACGCCCGCUCAGAAACUCAAUGAAUUGACGGACCCCGCACAAGCGGUGGAUCAUGUUGUUUAAUUCGAUGAUACGCGAAGAACCUUACCAGGUCUUGACAUCCCCCGCGAUGCUUUAGAGAUAAAGCGGAGGUAUUCGGGGAGACAGGUGGUGCAUGGUUGUCGUCAGCUCGUGUCGUGAGAUGUUGGGUUAAGUCCCGCAACGAGCGCAACCCCUAUUGCUAGUUACCAUCAUUAAGUUGGGGACUCUAGCGAGACUGCCAGUGAUAAACUGGAGGAAGGUGGGGAUGACGUCAAAUCAUCAUGCCCCUUAUGACCUGGGCUACAAACGUGAUACAAUGGCUGGAACAAAGGGAUGCGAAGCAGUGAUGUGGAGCGAAACCCAUAAAACCGAUCGUAGUCCGGAUCGCAGUCUGCAACUCGACUGCGUGAAGUCGGAAUCGCUAGUAAUCGUGAAUCAGAAUGUCACGGUGAAUACGUUCCCGGGCCUU